CUCUAAGGUAGACUGGCUCUGUCCAUGGAGGCUCCAUGCAGGACUCCUCAGAAACCAGGAAGAGCCCUGGGGCAGCUGCAUCGCGCCAAAGGGACCCAUCCGGCCCAGGAUCCUGCGCCCACAGUGGCACCCAGGCGCCCCAAGCAGGAGGAGAGCGCCUUUUGCCCUCUAAGGUAGACUGGCUCUGGCCCUGGAGGCUCCAUGCAGGACUCCUCAGAAACCAGGAAGAGCCCUGGGGCAGCUGCAUCGCGCCAAAGGGACCCAUCCGGCCCAGGAUCCUGCACCCACAGUGCCACCCAGGCGCCCCAAGCAGGAGGAGAGCGCCUUGUGCCCUCUAAGGUAGACUGGCUCUGUCCAUGGAGGCUCCAUGCAGGAAGAGCUCUGAGGCAGCUGCAUCACGCCAAAGGGACCCAUCCGGCCCAGGAUCCUGCGCCCACAGUGGCACCCAGGCAUCCCCAAGCAGGAGGAGAGCGCCUUGUGCCCUCUAAGGUAGACUGGCUCUGGCCCUGGAGGCUCCAUGCAGGACUCCUCAGAAACCAGGAAGAGCCCUGGGGCAGCUGCAUCGCGCCAAAGGGAC